rnacentral:lncRNA from 10 species
GUUUCUGGCUGGCGAAGCAACACCCCAAGAAUCCCAUGACAAUGGGACCCGUGGAAGGGAUAAAGCAUGACUCUGCUGGGGACUCCAGGCUCUGCAGAAGAGUAAAAUUUCAUCAGAACAAAGGUGAUCUCAUACUAUCCAAUGGCUUUGAACACUAUCAGCUGCAAUGAUGACACUCAUCUAUACCACUUACCUGAACUCCUUCCCAACUUCAGACUCCACUCUUCCAUCUCCACUUGGAACCCUGAGACACACUGCACAUAGACAGAGUCUUGCUCUGUCAUCCAAGCUGGAGUGCAGUGGUGCAAUCAUAGAUCACUAUAACCUCGAACUCCUGGGCUCAAGUGAUCCUCCUUCCAAAGUGCUGGGAUUACAACGUACAACUUAAUUCUUGAAUUUGUUCACUAUCUCUGCACCUGCUGUCGUCAUCCUAUUCCAAGCCACCAUCAUUUCUCACCUGGAUUGUUACAAUUGCCUCCUGCCUGGAGUUCCCACUACACAUUGGUUACCUGUGGUGGAGAUGGUGAAUUGACACCCACAGUCAUUCCAAUUCUUGCCAGGUAUGUCUUCUUCUAUUACAGAGUCUGGGAAGCAAAAAUUAAACUUUUAAAUUGCUUUGCACCUGUUCCAAGUGCAAAUUAGUUUCCACCAAUUAGAUGCAUUCAUGCAAGGUACAAAAGAAAUUCAGGGGUCCUCUUUCUUUUGUUUCAGCUGUUUCUG